UUAUCAGGAAGGAGGUUGGGAAAUGGGUGCUAUCUCAGAGCUAGAGAGAUUUAAAGGAUGAAAAGUCAGAAUCUUGAAAAUUUUCAUGACCUGAAAAAAUCCAGAAUUGAUUCAGAUGGUCAAGGAGCUGAGCCUGAGCAGUGCUGUCCUAAGAAGAGUCACAACUGGAUUGCUCAAGGAGACACUGCAACCGAUGCUGGGACUAUCCUAGAAGGAGCCUAACUGGACUGGGCCAAAGGGAAAAUCCAUACUAGAUCAGAAUGGUGACAGAAUGGUUAUGGGGAAGAUGUGGGAUGGAAAUGGGUUAUAUAGGGUGAAGCCUAUUAUCUGAUUUUGAGGUUUGAAGCUUAGUGGGUUCCAGGUGUAUUCUGAUUUCCCACCCUAACACAUUCCUGUAUGUAUC